ACGUCAUUAAGAAAGAAGUUAUGACAGGUUCGGAGGUGUCAUACAUAUUUAGUGAGGUUGUUGUACCCGAUCUUGGUCAAGAGGGCUUCGUGAAACGGUUAGCGGACAAGUAGCUCACUAUCUCCGAUUUAGUCAAGAAGUUAGACUUAUGACGGUGUUGAGAAACGGGCCCCUGGACUUGAGACGGACAAAAUAGACCUCUCCUCAGCGUCGGGCCGGACGAGAUCACGUGAUUGGGAGACUGUACGUUACCGUUGUAGAACUCGGCGACGAUUCCUCCUGACUACCGAUGUCCUGGUCAUCAUAAACACAGUCGGACCUUGGAAAAGAGUAUGACACAGCGGGUCCGGGAAGGGGAAGGGGGGGGGUGAGCGGUGGGGGUUCAGUUCUUGUCUUCCGUCCAUGUAUUUUUCAUAAAGGAAACUAAAGAGGUAACCUGGCUUCGAUCUAAAAAAAAAUAUAUAUAUUGCCAUGCAUUAUCCACACUAUGAUAGGCCCAAUGCAUCACAUAGUAUAUUUUCUUGAUAGGGAAACGUAAAAUGUCCACAAGGCUGCUAAAAGGUAUACUCUUUCCCUCGAUUUUGACAAUUGUAUGCCCUUUUCAGUACGCGAGUGGAUUACCUGAUUUUAAAUACAACCCCUUUUAAAAUGCUUUUCGGAUAGCAGGUCAUGCAAACGGUCGACUCGGGUUUAUACCAGCAUGCCUAGUAUAAACUGUAUGUAGGCCUAUCUCUUUCGGAGUUCAUCACUUCUCUUAUCACCUGCCGAAGAAAUAAACGUGAACAUGUUGAAAGAGGGGUUCUUUGUCUCUUUAUGAUUUGUUUUUGACGAGCGUCUUUUUAUCACGCGAGUGAAUGUCGCUUAUCGAUGUUUUUUGCCUUCGACAUGUUUGUUUCAUGGCUUUCCAUAAUACCACUAGUAUGAAUCGCUGUAUACGAAUCUCCGAAAUAAACCCCUACAUCGGAUGAAUCUAGUUCAAUGCCAAAGGCAGAUGACCUCUUGCUACUUACCUUGCGAGCUAUGUAUGAUCUGACUGUCGACCAACCAUGAUACAGGGAUAAUACUGCAGCAAUUGGCCUACAUGCCACAACGCAUAGAAAUAAGUUCAUUUUCGGUUCGAUAUACGACCUAAACGUGUGAACAUACCAACUUGUGUAUCAAUCAGUUCAAGUACACCGAUGACACUGAUAUAUUGUACGGAAUGGGCACCAGAGCUGAGCACAGUUAUUCCUCAAUUCAAACCAUUCAUGUAUUCAGGAUAGAAUCUUCCAAGCAUACAUCAAGAUCAAUCCAAUAUGAACCUUGAGAUUCUGGGUCCGCAGUAUUCUAUUCGACCUACGUGUUCGAUACCUACAAAAUGGCAUCAGUUAACAGACAAGGAGCCCCAUCAGUCAUGCUACAAACACAAACUUAUAAUUUGAAUUCGAAUCCCCAACGAACCCAGGGUGGAGUAUGCCAACAAUGUGGUUAUUGUUGCGCACUUUUCUGGAUAAUCAUCUCAUGUGUAUCGGUCUUCAUUGGAGUCAUAAACACUCUAGUUGGAAGCUUGAACGACGGAGCAAGCAUGACAGGCAGCAGUCUGACGUUUGGAACGUCACCUCGAGCAGUUGACCGUACUCAGCUGUACAUUGGAAUAGGUUUUUUAGUAGUUGGGGUAGUAUUGUUGGUUCUUGCUAUCAUUUGUUGCCGAAGAAUCAAGCGCAGUAGUCCUAUCCCGACUAUGUACUCCGGUGCUGCCAUGACAACAACUGUUAUACAACCUCCACCUAGUAUGCGAGCGACACGGGAUCAACAUGUCUACGUGUACUCGUCUCAACCAGCGCCACACCAAUCGGGGUCUAUUCCACGGCAUCGAUCUGAAGCAAACGAGUUCCAACCGGCUCAACCAGCUGUAAACCGGUAUCAUACUGCGGAGCCGUCGGUACCUUCUGAGGAACCACCGAAUAUACCGCCGCCGUCGUAUAAUGAAUUGAUGCAGUCCGACACAAACAAAGCAUUUCAUAGUGGAGUUAUGAUGACUGAUGUGUAAAUGAAAUAUCAUUAUAAUGAGGAAUGGUUAUAAGAAACCAUUGUAUUGACUCAAAGCUUGAUUUAAAAAAAAUCAACAAAGUUCCUUUUGGCGUAGUGAUCUAGUGGUUACGACUCUCGUCUAUCAAUCAGAGGGAGAUGGGUUCGAAUCCCAGCCAUAGAGUAUUUUCCUUUAGCAAGAAAUUUACCCACAUUACGCUGCACUGAAUUCAGGUGAGGUGAAUGGGUACCCGGCAGGAUGCGCACACGGCCUUUAGCAGCUGGCGGAAUAAACCUGGGUAAUAAUGUAGUGCGCCAUUAUUACAUCAGCAAUUGCGAGAUAAUCGGGGCCUCAUAAACGCUUUAUAUUAACAAGGUAAACAGACAGUACAGAAAACAAUCAAUGACAAUGUCUCAUCUCUGUUCCAGUAUAGUCAAGCGGCAUCACGAAGAUGCAGGAGCAGUCAUUGGAGCGUAUCCAAAAACGUGCCUGCCGGAUUAUACUGGGUCAUGAUAUACGGUACGCAGAUGCUAGAGAACACCUGAACAUACCUCCCCCCAGUGACAGAAGGUACCCUCUCCUGCUCUCUGUGUCAAGAGACCAUGCUUGACUCUUUUCCAAGCUCCACCACCUCUUGCCCCCGCGUAGUAAACACGGAUGCAACACUAGGAACACUGGCAAAUUUGUGAACAUGCGGAGCAGGACUGAAAGACUUAUAGGAAUAGUCCAAUACCCUAUCUUACACGCCUGUUAUAAAUCAAUUUUAAUGUUUAAUGUUGUGUAAUCAACUUAUUGUCAUCGGGGGGGGGGGGGGGGGGGUUAAUAACUAGUAUUUUCCAUGCUUGCAUGAAUUUGAUGGACCCCCCUCCGAGCUCUUGACGUGAAACAAUGACUAUGAUAUUUCAUUUUUACUCGAAUUGCAGAUUUUACCACUAAAGGCAUAUAAAUUGUUCCAAAUAAUAGCUUGAAUUACACAUUGUACAGCCAGCCUUAGGUAAUAAUAAUGAUAUUGACUGACUCUUCUUUCGGGAAACAUCAAAUUAAAUAUGCAUGUUGCCCUUAAAAGAACCAUAUUGCCCUCGUCUAAAGACUCGGACCAAGAUUCUGUUGCGGGCGUUAUAUUUGAUGUUCCCCUUAAGGCCAGUCAAUAUUAUAUUAUUAUUUACCAGAUAUCACCUUUUAUCCACAGAGUAUCCAAUUAAUACUCAUCAUCGGCGUUUGUUAAUCUUUAAGAAAUUUUGAAUUUUACCGUAUUCUAAUUUGAUUUGAAUAUUAACUUCAAAAUAUAUUUGCAUUCAUAUGAUUUAUUUUUCUAUGUUUCCUUUUUUGUCAUAUUUUACUUUCCAUUAUACCCAUCCUCCACCCUCCUCUGGCUUUCAGAGUCCUCUCCCUACACCCCCUUCAGCUUCUUAUGCCUAUACCACUCUGUUUCUUUUACUUGUCUAUACUUCCUUCUAGUCCUACGUUUUCUUGAUUUCUUUCUUUCUCCUUCCAUUAUUAUCAAUCUUUGUUCUUGAUUUGAAGAUGUUCUGGUUUAUUAUGUGUAUAUUUUUUGUUGUAAUGUAUUCCUAGUAUGUGAUGUAGAUUCCUACCAGUUCAGCUUUUGGCUGCCAUGUGGUUAUAAAUAAAUACCUCUUCAAAUCGGAAACGAAA